rnacentral:rRNA from 1 species
GAUGAACGCUGGCGGCGUGCCUAAUACAUGCAAGUCGAGCGAACAGACGAGGAGCUUGCUCCUCUGACGUUAGCGGCGGACGGGUGAGUAACACGUGGAUAACCUACCUAUAAGACUGGGAUAACUUCGGGAAACCGGAGCUAAUACCGGAUAAUAUAUUGAACCGCAUGGUUCAAUAGUGAAAGACGGUUUUGCUGUCACUUAUAGAUGGAUCCGCGCCGCAUUAGCUAGUUGGUAAGGUAACGGCUUACCAAGGCAACGAUGCGUAGCCGACCUGAGAGGGUGAUCGGCCACACUGGAACGGGGACACGGCCCAGACUCCUACGGGAGGCAGCAGUAGGGAAUCUUCCGCAAUGGGCGAAAGCCUGACGGAGCAACGCCGCGUGAGUGAUGAAGGUCUUCGGAUCGUAAAACUCUGUUAUUAGGGAAGAACAAAUGUGUAAGUAACUAUGCACGUCUUGACGGUACCUAAUCAGAAAGCCACGGCUAACUACGUG